GACGAACGCUGGCGGCGUGCUUAACACAUGCAAGUCGAACGAUGAAGCCGGAGCUUGCUCCGGUGGAUUAGUGGCGAACGGGUGAGUAACACGUGAGCAAUCUGCCCUUGACUCUGGGAUAACUGCGGGAAACUGUAGCUAAUACCGGAUACGACACCUUGGGGCAUCCCAGGGUGUGGAAAGAAUUUCGGUCAAGGAUGAGCUCGCGGCCUAUCAGCUAGUUGGUGAGGUAAUGGCUCACCAAGGCGACGACGGGUAGCCGGCCUGAGAGGGUGACCGGCCACACUGGAACUGAGACACGGUCCAGACUCCUACGGGAGGCAGCAGUGGGGAAUAUUGCACAAUGGGCGAAAGCCUGAUGCAGCAACGCCGCGUGAGGGAUGAAGGCCUUCGGGUUGUAAACCUCUUUUAGCAGGGAAGAAGCGAAAGUGACGGUACCUGCAGAAAAAGCACCGGCUAACUACGUGCCAGCCGCCGCCGUUAA
rnacentral:rRNA from 1 species